GAAGGAAAUCCCUUAAGGAAAGAGGAAAAGACCUGGGUGCCUGCCUGGCUCCAAACUCCAAUUUGCAGCUCUGCUGUCCCUCACCCUCCGUGUUCUGUCCACGC